rnacentral:rRNA from 1 species
GACGAACGCUGGCGGCGUGCUUAACACAUGCAAGUCGAACGGAAAGGCCUGCUUUCCCUUGUGGAUUGCGGGUACUCGAGUGGCGAACGGGUGGGUAACACGUGAGCGAUCUGCCCCCAACUUGGGUAUAAGCCUGGGAAACUGGGUCUAAUUCCCGAUCGGACUGCAGGGUGGUGCCUGUGGUGGAAAACGAUUUUCUAGUGGUUGGGGAUGAGCUCGCGGCCUAUCAGCUUGUUGGUGGGGUAAUGGCCUACCAAGGCGGCGACGGGUAGCCGGCCUGGGAGGGUGGACGGCCACAUUGGGACUGAGAUACGGCCCAGACUCCUACGGGAGGCAGCAGUGGGGAGUAUUGCACAAUGGGCGGAAGCCUGAUGCAGCGACGCCGCGUGGGGGAUGACGGCCUUCGGGUUGUAAACUCCUUGCGACCGCGAGGAAGCCACCUGGUUGGAAGGGUGGUGACGGUAGUGGUAGAAGAAGCACCGGCUAACUACGUG